AAGCACCAACCAAAAGAAGAAAGGAGGAUAGAAAAAAUAAAAUGGAAGAUGCAGGGUGGGCAGCUUAGGGCUGCGUUUGUUGCUUGCUUUCAUGUUACCAUCAUAGCGUUUUUGCCACUUACAAAGGAGGAAAAAAAUCAAUUAUGUGCCAACCCAGACAACAGAGACCUGAGUGGGGGUUGGGAAGAGAGAUUUUUCAGCACAGAAUCAGACUCCUUCUCCAAAGAGCUGUGUGGCCUUCACCUGCAAGGCGACCUCUUCCACAAGCAGAGGCCAGGACAAACAGAGGCACCUGUGAGCGACAAAGGCGGUUUCCUUGGUUUCCCUCACGGCGCCAAGCGGAGUGGCCGAGUGGCCGCCUCCCACCACAGGGCCCCCUAAUGGGCGCUUUUGUCCCGCGGGGCGGAGGGACCUCAUUAGAAGGCGCUGGUGCUAAAGGGAAAUGCAUUUCCAGAACAGGAGGUUUUAUCAUUCCUAGCGUUAGCGACAAAAUGGUGACAGAAGCCCUGUGGACGUAUUUUCCAGCGUUCAGUUCACAUCAAGGACGGGUAUGCACUGGCGGAAAAGGUCAGCUCGCAGAAUGAUCGCCCAUCCACACAGCGUUUGGAGGUCAGACUUUCCUGAUUAAUGUGAAAAUGGGGAGGUGAGAAGAGGUCGUCAAAGGGAGCAGCCUUUUAAAGCCAGGUCAGCUGCUAACAAAUUUUGUGACUUUGGAAAAUGUACUGAACUUCUCUGAAUAUUUAUUUUUUUAUCCCAUCUGUUGAAAUGGUGCUAAAAAUAUUAUCUAUUCUU
rnacentral:antisense_RNA from 1 species